UGUAUAGCUUAAGUGGUACAGCACAUGCCUAGCAAGCAUGAGAUCUUGGGUUGAAUCCCUAAUACA
rnacentral:tRNA from 1 species